AGUGAACGCUGGCGGUAGGCCUAACACAUGCAAGUCGAACGGCAGCACAGUAAGAGCUUGCUCUUACGGGUGGCGAGUGGCGGACGGGUGAGGAAUACAUCGGAAUCUACUUUUUCGUGGGGGAUAAUGUAGGGAAACUUACGCUAAUACCGCAUACGACCUACGGGUGAAAGCAGGGGAUCUUCGGACCUUGCGCGAUUGAAUGAGCCGAUGUCGGAUUAGCUAGUUGGCGGGGUAAAGGCCCACCAAGGCGACGAUCCGUAGCUGGUCUGAGAGGAUGAUCAGCCACACUGGAACUGAGACACGGUCCAGACUCCUACGGGAGGCAGCAGUGGGGAAUAUUGGACAAUGGGCGCAAGCCUGAUCCAGCCAUACCGCGUGGGUGAAGAAGGCCUUCGGGUUGUAAAGCCCUUUUGUUGGGAAAGAAAAGCAGCAGGUUAAGACCCCGCUGUUCUGACGGUACCCAAAGAAUAAGCACCGGCUAACUUCGU
rnacentral:rRNA from 1 species